GCUGUAGAAUAUAUAUCCACCACAGUGCUUCUUUGAUCAAGAGAGAGAGAGAGAGACCACAUCAUCAGAACGGAAUGACAAAAACAGAUAGACGGCUGUGCGGCAUUUGUUGCUUAUGUGAACUCUGUGUCGCAGCAAUGACAUGGUGGUCUAAUAUUUUGACCUGCUGGGGCUUGUUUGAGAACUGCUGUGGGUGCUGUGGGUGCGAACCUUGCUGUGGGUGCUGUGGGUGCGAAUCUUGUAGUGGGUGAGAACCUUAGGGACCUGAUAAUGCCGGCUAUUGAACAAUGGUGACGUUCCAGGCUUGUUGAUCACAAUGUCGUGUCUGUAAUGUUUUCUGUUUGAGUGUGACUAUGUGUAAUAUCAUUAAAUAAACCAGCGAGAUAUGUUAGAGCAUGUUACAAACCGCAGUGUUGCAACUGGCCUAUCAGUGUUUGCCCUUUGAUAUCUACUCAAAUUCGGUGUGUAAUUUAAUCAGUUUGGAAAUCUCUAUGUUUCUUA